rnacentral:ncRNA from 1 species
GACACGGGGUGCCACAUGGCUGAGAACACACCCGUUGAACCUGUCCAGCUAGUACUGACGAAGGGAUGUC